rnacentral:rRNA from 1 species
AUUGAACGCUGGCGGCAUGCCUUACACAUGCAAGUCGAACGGCAGCGGACCUUCGGGUGCCGGCGAGUGGCGAACGGGUGAGUAAUAUAUCGGAACGUACCUUUCAGUGGGGGAUAACGUAGCGAAAGUUACGCUAAUACCGCAUAUUCUGUGAGCAGGAAAGCAGGGGAUCGCAAGACCUUGCGCUGAUUGAGCGGCCGAUAUCAGAUUAGCUAGUUGGUGAGGUAAAGGCUCACCGAGGCGACGAUCUGUAGCGGGUCUGAGAGGAUGAUCCGCCACACUGGAACUGAGACACGGUCCAGACUCCUACGGGAGGCAGCAGUGGGGAAUUUUGGACAAUGGGCGCAAGCCUGAUCCAGCCAUGCCGCGUGAGUGAAGAAGGCC